GGGAAGAUGGCCGAGUGGUUAAGGCGCUGUGUUUAGGCAUGACGCUCUGAGAGUGUCUGGUGACCCGCAGUGCGAAAGCGCGUGAGUUCGAAUCUCACUCUUCUCA
rnacentral:tRNA from 1 species